UCCCUGGCAGUUCAGUGGUUAGAACUCUGCACUUUCACUGCAGAGGGUGCUGGUUUGAUCCUUGGUCAAGGAA
rnacentral:tRNA from 1 species